UACGUAGGGUGCAAGCGUUGUCCGGAAUUAUUGGGCGUAAAGAGCUCGUAGGCGGUUUGUCGCGUCUGCUGUGAAAAACCCGAGGCUCAACCUCGGGCCUGCAGUGGGUACGGGCAGACUAGAGUGCGGUAGGGGGAGAUUGGAAUUCCUGGUGUAGCGGUGGAAUGCGCAGAUAUCAGGAGGAACACCAAUGGCGAAGGCAGAUCUCUGGGCCGUAAACUGACGCUGAGGAGCGAAAGCUGGGGAGCAACAGG
rnacentral:rRNA from 1 species